rnacentral:rRNA from 1 species
UACAGAGGUCCCAAGCGUUUGUUCGGAUUCACUGGGCGUAAAGGGUGCGUAGGUGGUGAGGUAAGUCGGAUGUGAAAUCUCGGAGCUCAACUCCGAAACUGCAUUGGAAACUACCUCGCUCGAGGGUUGGAGGGGGGACUGGAAUACUUGGUGUAGCAGUGAAAUGCGUAGAUAUCAAGUGGAACACCAGUGGCGAAGGCGAGUCCCUGGACAACUCCUGACACUGAGGCACGAAAGCUAGGGGAGCAAACAGG